rnacentral:rRNA from 1 species
AAACUUUCAACAACGGAUCUCUUGGUUCUGGCAUCGAUGAAGAACGCAGCGAAAUGCGAUAAGUAAUGUGAAUUGCAGAAUUCAGUGAAUCAUCGAAUCUUUGAACGCACAUUGCGCCCGCCAGUAUUCUGGCGGGAUUCCUGUCCGAGCGAAAUUU